UUUUUUUUUUUGUCUAUCACAUUUUAGGACCCAUCAAAUGACAUCUUUAAGUUCUUUCGGGGAGUGUUUGGUAACACCCUAUUAAAGUUUAACACCUGUCACAUCGGAUGUUUGGAUGCUAAUUAGGAGUAUUAAAUAUAUGCUAAUUACAAAACUAAUUGCACAGAUGGAGUAUAAUUCGUGAGACGAAUCUAUUAAGCCUAAUUAGUCCAUGAUUUGACAAUGUGGUGCUACAGUAACCAUUUGCUAAUGAUGGAUUAAUUAGGCUUAAUAGAUUCGUCUCGCGAAUUAGCACAGGGUUCUGCAAUUAGUUUUAUAAUUAGCUCAUGUUUAGUCCUCCUAAUUAGUAUCCGAACAUCCGAUGUGACACUGUUAAAGUUUAGCACCUCGUAUCCAAACACCUCGAUUUUAGCAUAAAAAAUUUGUCAUACACUCAGCUUUGGCAUGCACUAAAUUUGGCAUGGCAAAUUUUGGAACUAAAUCAAUCUGGUCCGUAUCUGCGCAACAGAAUCUGCUUGGUUCCGAAGCAUAUGACGCGAACAUCGGUAGCCUGAGCCCUCAGCCUGCCAGCCAUCAAGUAGCUGCCCCUGCCCGCUCGUAUGCGGUAUAGUAUGCCAGAAGUGGGAUCGGGAUCGGCACCAAAUCUAUCCGCCCGGGCAACGCUCGCCACCGGCGGAUCCGCGGAUCCCUCCCUCUUUUCAGCCAAAAGCCAUUUCCAACUGAGAGAAAAGGGAAAGGAGAUGCGGAACCUGCUGGGUACCGGACAUGACCAGUACCGGACAUGACCAGUACGGUGCAGUGCAAAGGCCACUCCAGUUGGAGUAUGUUAAAAAAUGUACCGCAGCAGCACAGGUCACGUUCCAUAAAAAAUCAGAAUAACGUUCAUUCAGAAACAAAAAUGUACUGCGGCGGCACAGGUAACAUUCAAUCAAAAUGUUGGAGGAGAGGUGAUCCUGGAAGCCUCGUGCAGUAGCAAACAUUAGCAAUGGACAAAAGGACUUUUAGAGUUGUAUACAACGCAGGAGGGUCGGCUGCAGUAAUCCCAUUGAUUCUUUUUUUUAUGGUCAACGGAAGGGGAGAGAAUCCCCACUUGAAUUUCAUUCAUUCAUCUUUGGCCCCAACCGGCCCGAGUGAUGGGUAGAAUUUGUUUCUACAUUGUCACAUUACAUUGCGCCAGAGAACAAUUGGCACCAUUUGCUAGCGACAUCCGCUGAGCAUCUCGGCAACCUGCAGCGCCAAAGCUGCGCAUCAUCCUUGUAGUUCUUUAGGGUUUGUCGUAGCAUCCACCGCUCGCCCCGGAACACGACCUCAUUCCGCUGUUUCCACAGUUGCCAGCAGCAGAGCAGCACCAGGCUGGCGAAGUGUUCCUCUGGAACACCCGGCAACCGUUCCAUCUUAUGGAUGUCUUGAACGCUGGAGGAUGGAGGCGGGCGGAACCCCAGCGCCGACCAGAAGAAGCCGGCGGAACCCCAGUGCCAUUGAUUCUGGUCAGUAUAGUAUUGAUCCUUCGAUGGUAAAUCCAUUUGGAGUUCAAAUGCAGAAGGCAAACAUAAGUUUUUUGCAUGGCUCUUGGUGCAAAGCAAGAUUCUAACAGCUGACAAAUUAAUCAAGAGGAAUUGGUCCUGUGACCCAAUUUGUAGCCUUUGUGAUCAAGCACCUGAGACGGCAAUGCAUCUGUGUUUGGAGUGCGUGUUCGCUAGGGAAGUUUGGACGCUCAUGGCCUCUUGGUCAGGGGGACUGAUUCAGACACCGGAUCAUGGCUUAGGGAUGGAAGAGUGGUGGCAUAGCUCACUCCGCCAGCUGCCAAGAGCCCAACGGCGGAAUGUGGUGGCAAUGUUGAUGUACACGGCUUGGAACAGCUGGAAUGAACCCUUGAGAGGACAUCAACAACAACAUUGCAAGUUUUUUCGUUCAUCAGGGAGGAGAUCGGCUUGAGGAAGACAGCCAUGAGAGGCCCUUUGAGCCGUAGUUUCAUCAUGCUAGCCUUUAAUUUCUUAGAGUACCGAGAGAUCUUUUAUUUAUGUAAUAUUAACUAUGUAAAAACCGUCCUUCCUCUUCUUCUUAUAUGAUUUGGCAACGUUCCUGCCUUCGGUUAAAAAAAAAGUAUAGUAUUGAUUCAGAAGAAGAGGGGCAAACUUAAUUGCCAGUUUGAAUAAUGCUACUAUCUUCCGAAGCCUGUCUUCCGUCGUCCUAACAAGCUUGGCACUUGAUAGAUACAUCGAACAUGCAUAGCAAAAGGUGGCCGUUUGGAUAAAAGCUGGAUCGACAACGCCUCUCCACCCAAGAAGGUGGUGGCAAGUUUUUGCAAGCAAUGCGAUGUUUUCGUGCUACGUUGUUGCUAGCUGUGCACUGUUAGUGCAAGCAACGCAACGUGAUUACAGGAUUGACCACCGAGUGUUAAUUUACCUACAGCUUGCAAAGCUGUUGUAUCCUGUUACGGAGGUUGGCUGGACUCUUGUUUUCUGGAAGACAGGAAUACGUGUCCGUAUUUUUUUUCUUCCUCAUCCCGUCCCAUGAUCCGGCUCCAGCCAGAGCUUCCCAGCGAGACUACACGGAUCUCACGGUCACGCCAUGUCCGUGGCGGCGCGAACAAGUCGUCGUGCGCCGUCCUCCUUGACAUCCGGCGCCGGCCAAGGCGCACAAUACAAAUGGCAGGCAGCUGAGCUGCGUAGGCCGUAGCAGGAGGCAGCCCGGCAACCGACCCAUGAGGGGAGGAGGGAGGCGGAGGGCGGCACAAGCAUCCAACAAACCUGGCGCCCAUAUCGGUCAGCGAGGCCGCACGGAAAAUCCAAGCCGGCGGUGGUAGCAAUGGGCCCAGGUGGCGCCUCACAUGCAGCAUGGUCCAUGGUGUACAGCCGAGCAUAGCACAGAGCAGACCAGACGUACGCGUACCACAGUACCAGUACGGCAUUAUACUCAUGCACAGUAGAAUUGACCAAAGGGGCUCAUGCUCCUGACACCGGCGACUUUUAUCAUCUGAAAACACUUGUUGCCCAAGUUGGGCGCGACUUUGAUUCCCUCCGGAACUGACGGCCGACUUCAUGCCCUAUCUGCAAAAGUUUCCUUCGAACGAACAGCCUUCGAGUACAAGCUUCCGUGUAGGUUCUUGAAAAGAUCGUUCCCGGAAAUGUAUGCAAUCAACGAGGCAAUGACUGCACACUCUGCAGCCAUGCUCACGGAGGCGCAACCGUAUGCUGGGGGGAGACCAUCCGGCUGUCCUGAAAUCAGAAUUCAGAGUGGCGCUUUGGACAGAAACUGCAAGCUCUUUCCAUGGACAUCGAUCAAGCAAGCAAGGUUGUCUUUAUCAAAAAAAAGCAAGCAAGGUUGUGUCAUGUGUGGCUUGUCCGUCGAGAGACAUGUCCUUUGACCUUCCGGUUUGUUAUAUCAUUUCCCCUCUUUCUUUCACAUUCACCGUCGUGUGCCCCCUGCCUCUGCGUCUCGAGGAUACAGAGUGAGGAAAGACACUGGUCAGGUACGAGGACUUCGGCGCGGCUAGUAGCCUAGUACAAACAUUAACGCGUGAUUAAGUGGAUACGAUUGGGCAGGCUUUUUUUUGGAAAGGAAUUGGGCAGGCUUUCAAGUGAGCGAUUCAGCUUUAAUGGAUUCUGUACCGAUAAAUCGUAAUGGUCCAAGUGUGUCGUAGAUAGGAUACAAUCCACGUUUUGCUGCAACGCAAGAUGAGGCGUAAAAUCAACCACAUCUGCAGUUCCGCACCGCACCCCGUCCUCCAACGAAGGCACCGUUCAUGGAUGCUGAAAUCAAAUCGCAGAACACAGCAUACACAAUGGAAAUGCUCUUCAGUCUAGCUCCACGACAAACGUUUAAUGCGUGAUUAAGCGAGUAAGGGACUCUAAAUCAGAACGAUUGGGCAGGCUAUCAAGUGAGCAAUUCUGCUUAACAUUCUCGCAUCAUAAUGGUCCAAGUGUGCCGGAGAUAGGAUAAGAGUCCACAUCCACAUUUUUGGUGCAAGACGAGGCGUGCAAUCAACCACAUCUUCAGUUCCGCGCUGCACCCCGUCCUCCCUCCAACAAAGGAGGUGCAGCAAUCGACAAGCCGCCCCG
rnacentral:lncRNA from 1 species